UACGAAGGGGGCUAGCGUUGCUCGGAAUUACUGGGCGUAAAGCGCACGUAGGCGGAUUCUUAAGUCGGUGGUGAAAUCCUGGAGCUCAACUCCAGAACUGCCUUCGAUACUGGGAAUCUUGAGUUCGGGGAGAGGUGAGUGGAACUGCGAGUGUAGAGGUGAAAUUCGUAGAUAUUCGGAGGAACACCAGUGGCGAAGGCGGCUCACUGGUCCG
rnacentral:rRNA from 1 species